GGUCGGUUAGCUCAGUUGGUCAGAGCAUCGCAAUUACAUUCAUAUCGGUCGGGAUCAUGUCGAGUUACUGCGAAGGCCAUAGUUUCAAGCCCUAUACUGACCA